rnacentral:rRNA from 1 species
UACGUAGGGGGCGAGCGUUGUCCGGAGUUACUGGGCGUAAAGCGCACGCAGGCGGUCUGCUAAGUUUGGAGUGACAGUCGGUGGCUUAACUGCCAAAGUGCUUCGAAAACUGACAGACUUGAGGGCUUCAGAGGGACACGGAAUUCCGGGUGGAGUGGUGAAAUGCGUAGAGAUCCGGAGGAACACCAGUGGCGAAGGCGACACGCUGGGCCGUACCUGACACUGAUGCGCGACAGCAUGGGGAGCAAACAGG